UCUUUGAUUUUCGCGUUUAGGGUUUUAGUUAAAUAUUUUGAAAUUGGGGGUUAUUGUCUCCUUGAACCUGUAUUUCCAUCAAAGUAUUACAAUUCUUGUUCUGGUUAUUUUGUUGGAUGGUUGUUAUAGAUAGAUAUGUAUUACCAUUGUAUUGGGGAUGGUCUUAUUGUUCUGUCGGUAUUGCAUUAUGUAUAGAUAGUUUCAUUUCAGUCUUUCUUUGACGUCAGUAUGUCUAUUCAAAUGCUUCACUAAUCCAUAUACCAUAGCUUUCAAUUAUUUAUUCAAUGAAUUUUCUGAUAUAUGUGGAACAAACAGUCACUCGGGUCGAGUUGUUGAAACAUUGUGUCAUCAUUCAUGAUUUGACGAAUAAUGUUACUCAGUAUGUAUGUAUGUCAUUCAUUUAGACAAUUUUUCACCUAUUUUCCCAAUCACGGGAAAAGGAAAAAUAUUUACAAGUGUAAAAAAAAAACGCCUAUUGUUCAAAAUGUCACUACUAAUCUAUGUCACUCUCUUGCAGCUGCAGAUUUACAGCCCAUUGAAGCGAGAAGUGAUAUGCAAAAAAACCUCUUCUCUGCAAGGAAUGGUGAGGCCACCCAUUGGAUGAUCAUAUCCGAAUUCAUCCUCUGCUCGACUCAACAAGUCUUGAAAUGAAGUUUGGUUCAAGUAGGACAUAUGGAUCACAAACCGCUUCAUUUCUUCUCCAACGUACACUGCAAGAUAUCCCUUUGGCACAUUUGUCGCUUUUGUUGAUGCUUGGCUACUACUAAAGGAAGCCCUUCUUAUAGCUGCUGGUAAACAGAAGCCCAUUUUAAAUGUUUCAAACAACAGACUAAACCUCUCAAAUUUAAGGAAAAGAGUAUUUAUCUUUUGAUGCUUGAGUAUGUGAAUGAUUUGUGAUGGAAAGUAGUAGUGUAUUUAUAGUCUUCAAGAGUUUCUUCAAAUCCAUUUCUUUGAGAAAUUAAAUUAUUGUUAAAGGAUGGGCUCCAUGAGAUGAGGGAACACAUGGUAUUGUCUUUUGAUGUCUCUCCAUAAAUCAUGGCUCAACAAGUUCAAUAAGAGUGCAUAUAUAAUAAGCCCCACUAUUUGAAAGAAAGGCCAGCAGAGUACCCACUUGGAAGUCAAAUGAGAUGGCUAGAUUUAAAUUAAAUUUCUUUUAUGGAUUGUCAUAUUUUUUAGAUAUGCAUUAGAGAUGUAACAUGUGUUCUUCCUAUUGACUGCGCAGCUCAAUGCCGACAUAUAGCUAGCUACCAAAAAUUUCUGUUGUAGUGUGAAUUCUAAGGUAAUGGCUAGUUGGUUCAUAAAUGUUAGGAGGGAACUUGGAGCCUGUAUCAAAGUCUUGGUCAGCAGUCAGAAGAUAGUAGUACACGUUUGAACCCACAGAUAGCAGAAAAGCUGUACUCUGAUAAUUGAAUUUUUAAUUUCAACAUCUGUAUAUAUUUCGUUUUAAAUAAUUGCAGUCUUUUGAAGAAAGUCUAGGAACAACUGCUUUGACAUAAGGAGGAGUAUAGAUCAAAACUUGAACUUGUACCAAAGUUUGUUCGAUGACUUUUUCUGCAUAUAAGAUAAUUAGCCAGUAGAACCUUGAUUCAUGAAACUGCAUUAAACUGGCAUGUGAUGUCUUCUUCUGUACUACUAUAUAAGCGAGGCUUUCUAGGUGAACAUGUCGAGUUGUAUUUAAUGUUCAAUAAUAUUUUUUAUUUUUCUUUUGCUCCAAAGAAGGCCUGAUGGUUUUUGUAACUCAAGUAUCAGAGCCAAAUUAUUGUACAGUUGAUGACUUACUGCUUCAAGUGUCAGAGUUCUCCAUUUAAAAUUGGUUAACAGAUAUAAGGAGGCAAGAGAUCACAGUUUAGUUUGGGUGAGUUUCUAGCCUUAAAGAAUUGAGAUGAUUAUUUGACUCUUGGUUCUGUUUUGUAUGAUAAGGUUUGACUCUUAGCCAAGAUACACUUUUAUGAAUAGUUGAGGCUGCAUGGAAUUCAAAUUAAAGGAUUUCCGUUAUAUGUGUGUUUAAGGACAACAACUUUGACGAGAACUCCAUGUGAUUAUGGUGUCCUCCACCUUCUUCCAACAUCACAAGAAGAAUCCAACUUAAUAAAUAAUUGGCCGUUCAAGCGGGAAGUUGUAUGUAAAAACACAUCUUCCUUGCACGGAAUUGUAAGACCACCCAUUGGAUGACAGUAACGGAAUUCCUCUUCGGCUUGACGCAACAAUUCUUGAAAUGAAGGCUCAUUCAAGAAUGACACUGGAAUCAAAAACCUCUCAUUUUCCUCUCCUAACAUACACCGCAAAAUAGCCUUUUGGGACGUCCACUUGUUUGCUAGACGAUUGACUUGCACUAAAUGAUGACUGUCUAAUACCAGGUUUCAUCAGCAUUGAGCUGUGUCAUCAAUGUGAAGAUAACAUGUGCCAUGUCUGAUGCAUGCCUCAAAUGAAAUGAGUAGGCACUAUACAAGCAUUGAGUUUAACAUGAACCUUUCAUUCCAAAGGUGGGGUUUUCACUCUUAUUGAACUUACUGAUCCUUAAUAGUGGCAUCUAAGACAACCCCAUGUGAUAUCUCAUCUCAUGGCCCCCAUCCUUUUAGCAAUCAUUUCUCUAACAAAGGGAUUUCAAGAAACUCUUAGAAACUAUAAAUAUUGUGUCCUCAUUCACAACACUCACAAAUCACUCAAGCAAUCAAACUUGGAUACUUUUAUCUUACAUCUGAGAAAUUCAUCUUAUUUCUUCAAAACAUUUGAAAUGGGUUUCCGUUUACCAGCAGCUAUUAGACGAGCUUCAUUUAGCAGUAGCCAAACAUCAAAAGUAUUGAAUGUGCCAAAGGGUUAUCUUGCAGUGUAUGUUGGAGAGCAAAUGCUGCGGUUUGUUAUCCCCAUGUCAUACUUGAAC